GACGAACGCUGGCGGCGUGCUUAACACAUGCAAGUCGAGCGGUAAGGCUCCUUCGGGAGUACACGAGCGGCGAACGGGUGAGUAACACGUGAGCAAUCUGCCCUUCUCAUCGGAAUAAGCGUGGGAAACCGCGUCUAAUGCCGAAUACGACCUCCUUUCGCAUGAUCGGAGGUGGAAAGCUCCGGCGGAGAAGGAUGAGCUCGCGGCCUAUCAGCUAGGUGGUGAGGUAACGGCCCACCAAGGCGACGAGGGGUAGCCGGCCUGAGAGGGUGACCGGCCACACUGGGACUGAGACACGGCCCAGACUCCUACGUGAGGCAGCAGUGGGGAAUAGUGCACAAUGGGCGCAAGCCUGAUGCAGCGACGCCGCGUGAGGGAUGACGGCCUUCGGGUUGUAAACCUCUUUCAGUAGGGAAGAAGCCGCAAGGUGACGGUACCUGCAGAAGAAGCGCCGGCUAACUACGUGCCAGCCGCCGCCGUAACAC
rnacentral:rRNA from 1 species